CCAGACUCCUACGGGAGGCAGCAGUGGGGAAUAUUGCACAAUGGGGGAAACCCUGAUGCAGCGACGCCGCGUGAGUGAAGAAGUAAUUCGUUACGUAAAGCUCUAUCAGCAGGGAAGAAACACUGACCUUACGGUCAGCAGACGGUACCUGAGUAAGAAGCCCCGGCUAACUACGUGCCAGCAGCCGCGGUAAUACGUAGGGGGCAAGCGUUAUCCGGAAUUACUGGGUGUAAAGGGAGCGUAGACGGUUAAGUAAGUCUGGAGUGAGAGGCCGGGGCCCAACCCCGGGACUGCUCUGGAAACUAUUUAACUUGAGUGCAGGAGAGGUAAGCGGAAUUCCUAGGGUAGCGGUGAAAUGCGUAGAUAUUAGGAGGAACACCAGUGGCGAAGGCGGCUUACUGGACUGUAACUGACGUUGAGGCUCGAAAGCGUGGGGAGCAAACAGGAUUAGAUACCCCUGUAC
rnacentral:rRNA from 1 species